rnacentral:rRNA from 1 species
UACGUAGGGUGCAAGCGUUGUCCGGAAUUAUUGGGCGUAAAGAGCUCGUAGGCGGUUUGUCACGUCGGAUGUGAAAACCCGAGGCUUAACCUCGGGCCUGCAUUCGAUACGGGCUGACUAGAGUUCGGUAGGGGAGACUGGAAUUCCUGGUGUAGCGGUGAAAUGCGCAGAUAUCAGGAGGAACACCGGUGGCGAAGGCGGGACUCUGGGCCGAUACUGACGCUGAGGAGCGAAAGCGUGGGGAGCAAACAGG